GACGAACGCUGGCGGCGUGCUUAACACAUGCAAGUCGAGCGGUAAGGCCCUUUCGGGGGUACACGAGCGGCGAACGGGUGAGUAACACGUGGGUGACCUGCCCUUAGCUCUGGGAUAAGCCUGGGAAACUGGGUCUAAUACCGGAUAUGACUCCAUGACGCAUGUUGUGGGGUGGAAAGCCUUGUGCGGCUAGGGAUGGGGCCCGCGGCCUAUCAGCUUGUUGGUGGGGUGAUGGCCUACCAAGGCGACGACGGGUAGCCGGCCUGAGAGGGCGACCGGCCACACUGGGACUGAGACACGGCCCAGACUCCUACGGGAGGCAGCAGUGGGGAAUCUUGCGCAAUGGGCGAAAGCCUGACGCAGCGACGCCGCGU
rnacentral:rRNA from 1 species